UAUUGGUCAAUGGUCGGGAGACUGAACCAGCCAAGCCGCGUGAGGGAUGAAGGUACAGAGUAUCGUAAACCUCUUUUGUCAGGAAACAAAGGCGGGGACGCGUCCGCGGCCGAGUGUGCCUGAAGAAAAAGCAUCGGCUAACCCCGUGCCAGCAGCCGCGGUAAUACGGAGGAUGCGAGCGUUAUCCGGAUUUAUGGGGUUUAAAGGGUGCGCAGGCGGUCUGUUAAGUCAGCGGUCAAAGCCCGGGGCUCAACCCCGGUCCGCCGUUGAAACUGGCAGUCUCGAGUUGGAGAGAAGUAGGCGGAAUGCGCGGUGUAGCGGUGAAAUGCAUAGAUAUCGCGCAGAACUCCGAUUGCGAAGGCAGCAUGCCGGCUCCACACUGACGCUGAGGCACGAAAGCGUGGGUAUCG
rnacentral:rRNA from 1 species